rnacentral:rRNA from 1 species
AGUUUGAUUCUGGCUCAGGAUGAACGCUGGCGGCGUGCUUAACACAUGCAAGUCGAACGGGCUCAUAUUGAAACCUAGUGAUGUAUGAGUUAGUGGCGGACGGGUGAGUAACGCGUGGAGAACCUGCCGUAUACUGGGGGAUAACACUUAGAAAUAGGUGCUAAUACCGCAUAAGCGCACAGCUUCGCAUGAAGCAGUGUGAAAAACUCCGGUGGUAUACGAUGGAUCCGCGUCUGAUUAGCUGGUUGGCGGGGUAACAGCCCACCAAGGCGACGAUCAGUAGCCGGCCUGAGAGGGUGAACGGCCACAUUGGGACUGAGACACGGCCCAAACUCCUACGGGAGGCAGCAGUGGGGAAUAUUGCACAAUGGGGGAAACCCUGAUGCAGCGACGCCGCGUGAGUGAAGAAGUAUUUCGGUAUGUAAAGCUCUAUCAGCAGGGAAGAAAAUGACGGUACCUGACUAAGAAGCCCCGGCUAACUACGUGCCAGCAGCCGCGGUAAUACGUAGGGGGCAAGCGUUAUCCGGAUUUACUGGGUGUAAAGGGAGCGUAGACGGCAGCGCAAGUCUGAAGUGAAAUCCCAUGG